GAGUUUGAUCCUGGCUCAGAGCGAACGCUGGCGGCAGGCUUAACACAUGCAAGUCGAGCGGGCCCUUCGGGUCGAGCGGCGGACGGGUGAGUAACGCGUGGGAACGGUGCCUUCUGGUUCGGAAUAACCCUGGGAACUAGGGCGUAAUACCGGAUACGCCCUUUUGGGGUAAAGGGUUUACUGCCGGAAGAUCGGACCCGCGUCUGAUUAGCUAGUUGGUGGGGUAAUGGCCUACCAAGGCGACGAUCAGUAGCUGGUCUGAGAGGAUGAUCAGCCACACUGGGACUGAGACACGGCCCAGACUCCUACGGGAGGCAGCAGUGGGGAAUAUUGGACAAUGGGCGCAAGCCUGAUCCAGCCAUGCCGCGUGAGUGAUGAAGGGCCUUAGGGUUGUAAAGCGUCUUUUAUCCGGGACGAUAAAUGACGGUACCGGAGGAAUAAGCCCCGGCUAACUUCGUGCCAGCCGCCGCCGUAAC
rnacentral:rRNA from 1 species